UACGGGAGCAGCAGUGGGGAAUAUUGCACAAUGGGCGCAAGCCUGAUGCAGCCAUGCCGCGUGUAUGAAGAAGGCCUUCGGGUUGUAAAGUACUUUCAGUCGUGAGGAAGGUGUUAAGGUUAAUAACCUUAGCAAUUGACGUUAGCGACAGAAGAAGCACCGGCUAACUCCGUGCCAGCAGCCGCGGUAAUACGGAGGGUGCGAGCGUUAAUCGGAAUUACUGGGCGUAAAGGGCACGCAGGCGGUUAAUUAAGUUGGAUGUGAAAUCCCCGGGCUUAACCUGGGAAUGGCAUUCAAGACUGGUUAGCUAGAGUCUUGUAGAGGGGGUAGAAUUCCGAUGUGUAGCGGUGAAAUGCGUAGAGAUGUGGAGGAAUACCGGGUGGCGAAGGCGGCCCCUGGGACAAAGACUGACGCUCAUGUGCGAAAGCGUGGGGAGCAAACAGGAUUAGAUACC
rnacentral:rRNA from 1 species